AGCACCGGCUAACUCCGUGCCAGCAGCCGCGGUAAUACGGAGGGUGCGAGCGUUAAUCGGAAUUACUGGGCGUAAAGGGUGCGUAGGUGGUUUGACAAGUUAUCUGUAAAAGCCCUGGGCUCAACCUGGGAAGGCCAGAUAAAACUGUUAGACUAGAGUAUGGGAGAGGGUAGUGGAAUUUCCGGUGUAGCGGUGAAAUGCGUAGAGAUCGGAAGGAACACCAGUGGCGAAGGCGGCUACCUGGCCUGAUACUGACACUGAAGCACGAAAGCGUGGGGAGCAAACAGGAUUAGAUACCCUGGUAGUCCACGCUGUAAACGAUGUCAACUAGCUGUUGGUCAUAUGAAUGUGAUUAGUGGCGAAGCAAACGCG
rnacentral:rRNA from 1 species